AUUCUCAAUUCUCUCUCUCUCUGUUACACUCUCUCCUUCCUCAUCUUCUUCCUCAUCUUCUUCUUUCAUCAAAAUCCUACUUUCAGUAGGUGACCGGUUUAGUUAAAAGCAAAUUAUUGCACUAGUCAUUUGUUAUAAUAACAACUUUUCAUAUAGAUUCAAAUAUAACCUCUUCAUUCAAUAAUAAUUAAGGUUACAAUUGUUUAGGUCAUCGUUAAUGACCUUCAUUAGCCAGUCUGCAGGCCCUGCAUUCUCUAGGUUGGAAACUGAUUUUUUUUUUUUUUUUUUGGGUACCACAAGCGUGUAUGAGCAAUUUGAUUUCCUCUACCAGCAGUCCUUCCUCAGCCCAGCAACAUUUUGCACAAUUAACAACUCUUGCUAUCCAAAAAAAAAAAAAAAACAACUCUUGGUACAUCCUUGUUAUCCACUUCAAUUUCCACUGGUAUAAUACUUGAUUCAAAGCAAAAACAAUACCCGAUUUCAACGCCAACGAUUCUGGUACCAAAGGAGCAAUUUGCAAGACAACGAAGACAUCUGCAGUGCUCUUUAGAGGACUUGACAACCCUUUCGCGAAGUCAUCUUUUUCUUCAUGGAGACAUUGUUUUUGCUUUGGGGACUUCAUAUAAAAAGUUAGACCUGGUUAGGAAGAUUGUGAAAAGCUGUAUAGUGGAAAAUGCAAAUCCUGCAGCUCUUGUCAUGAAGUAUAGGAAGGAUCGAUUAUACCGCAAGCUCGAUCAAAUAAACAGAAAAAUCUUUUGUAGGCUUAACCUGAAAAGUUAAACCUGAUCAGUGAGAUUUUUAGAAGAUUUGUUGUCAUGAAGCAUUGUUCUGAAUUCUGAUCAACCGGAACCAGAAAUUGAUUGACUAAACUGAAUUCUAGAAGCUGGUGUUUUUUGUAAUAU